rnacentral:lncRNA from 1 species
UCGGACAAUGUGAAUUGAGCAACAAUAAUUAUCUUUGAGAGAAAAAUACUCAUGUAAUACUUAAAAGAAUAAAUUUCCAACAAUUCCAAGUACUAGAAUUCAAAUGUCACAAAAAUUCAUGAACCUUCUAUCCCAAAAUAAUGCAAACUGAAUACUUAAAAUUAAUAAAUAAAUAAAUUAGUCGAAUAUUUUUUUUCUCAGUUUCUCCCUCAAAGCUCUCUGCUUUCCUGCUUCAGCUGGGAUACUUUCACGAUUUAGCAUUGCAAGCUUGCUCUAGCAGUCCAUUCUUCUACUUCUGCUUCUGCUCUUAGUUGCACUUCGUCUCCUCAUUCCUCUCCAAGUCUACUCCCCACUGCAACAGAUCUGAGUUACUGCGAUGGUGGUGAAUAGUUUGAUCCUUCAUUAGUCUCGUUCCAUCUUUAUACAUUUUUUUCUUGCUAGCUAAUUUUCUUUUAAUAAGCAGCUGCCAGAGAAGAAAUCUCACUUUACCACACCUCUUUCUUUCUUUUUUAGCUCCCCAUUUUCCUUCUUAGUUCCUUCUUUUUUUUAAUUUCAUCUUCAGCUCCUUUUUCUUUUCCUCUUCAAUUUUUUUUCUUUUUUUUUCCUCUUCAGAGGCAUAUAUGCCUCUUUCAGCUUCUGCC